GAUCAUGGCUCAGGACGAACGCUGGCGGCGUGCUUAACACAUGCAAGUCGAACGAGAAUCUGUGGAAAGAGGAUUCGUCCAAUUGAAACAGAGGACAGUGGCGGACGGGUGAGUAACGCGUGAGGAACCCGCCUUUCAGAGGGGGACAACAGUUGGAAACGACUGCUAAUACCGCAUGACACAUUGAGGUCGCAUGGCCUUGAUGUCAAAGAUUUAUCGCUGAAAGAUGG
rnacentral:rRNA from 1 species